rnacentral:rRNA from 1 species
GACGAACCUUGCAAACGUUAUUCGGAAUUACUGGGCUUAAAGGGUGCGUAGGCUGUGCAGAAAGUCAGGUGUGAAAUACCUCAGCUUAACUGAGGAAUUGCGCCCGAAACUACUGUGCUAGAGGAAGACAGAGGUAAGCGGAACUUAGGGUGGAGCGGUGAAAUGCGUUGAUAUCCUAAGGAACACCGGUGGCGAAAGCGGCUUACUGGGUCUUAUCUGACGCUGAUGCACGAAAGCUAGGGUAGCGAACGGG